rnacentral:lncRNA from 1 species
AAAAGUGCAUAUACAAGGCAUAUAUACACAGAAUUGCUGCUAGUUGUUAUAGUUUUAAACACAGUUAUUGUGCCAUUUAACCCAGGCUCAAUGAAAGUUCUCUGACUUGCUGAUAACAUUUUCAGGGAAGAAAUUACAGUGAUCUUUGAUCAUGAAAUGUAUAAUUAACUCAUCUGUGUUUGACUAUGCCAAUAGAGUGUGUACAGCAUUGUAGAGAAACAGUCUUGGGAUUUUGUGGCAGCUUUUAAAGGUAGAAUCAUAGCAAUGAAAACUUUGGUUAUGCCUGUCCUACCUAAAUGUAUACAAAAUUUGAACCAUUUUCCUCCAUUGUGAGCUGAUACGUGACCAGAUCUGCAGACAUGUAAAAUUGUGAAGUUAUUCCCUUGUCUUUAGGUAUUUGCCUCAAUGCAAAUUCAAAUGUAAUAAUUUUUUUUAUUUCUCUUAAAAUAUGUCAGUUAAUUAUUUGAUUUUUUCUCAAUUUUGGUGGUUUUAUAGAAAUGCUGAAUAGGCUCAAUGGGUUUUAGAUGUUUUAUGUCUAUUAUUCUACUCUAGUCUAUAAUUAUCUGGAUAUUCAUUGACUCCUAGCUCAAAAUUAGUUCCUUGGAAAAUUUGAAGACUUUCCACUAUUUCCUCUUCCCCCUCAUCUAUUUCCCAUUUUCUCCCCCAUUUCCAUCUCUUUCCCCCAUUCCUCAUCCUUUAUAUAUAUAUAUAUAUAUAUAUAUAUAUAUAUAUGUGUGUGUGUGUGUGUGUGUGUGUGUGUGUGUGUGUGUGUGUGUACUUGCUUUUUUAUUAUCUUGUCUAAUGUUGAGAUUGCUGUGGAAAACCUAAAAUCAUGAUCAGAUGGUCACAGUUCUUUGAUCAUCUUCUUCUUCUUCUUCUUCUUCUUCUUCUUCUUCUUCUUCUUCUUCUUCUUCUUCUUCUUCUUCUUCUUCUUCUUCUUCCUCCUCCUCCUCUUCCUCCUCCUCUUCCUCUUCGUCGUCUUCUCCUUCUCCUCCUUCUUUUCCUUCUCUUCCUCCACCUCUUCCUUUCUUCUUCUUUUCCCUCUUCUUCCUCCUUCUCUUGUGCCUCCUCUUUUUGUUUUUCUUACUUCUCUCUUUGUCUCUAUCUCUAUGUUUCUGUUUCUUUGUCUCUGUCUCUCUCUCUGUGUCUCUGUCUGUCAGUCUCUGUCGGCCUGUCUGUCUUUCUCUCUGUCUCAGAUGUAGAUUGAUCUGUAUCAAUUGUACUAACCCUUACUAGACUCCUUAAUAAAGCUACUAUUUUUCAAUUUUAAGAAAAGACCUUGAAAUAAUACUUCAUUGUCUUCCUUUCUUCAUAUUUCCUUUGUUCUCUCUAAAUCUGUUCUUAUGACUUGUAAUUACUUAACUUUGAAUCUUCAGUCUAUUUACUUUUCUAUUUCUCUAUAUUGUUAUUUUAAGUCUAUAAUCUAAAAUACUUUUUUAGUUUCUCCUAUCUUUGACAUUGUUUUAAUUUCUGUAAGUUACUGUUUAAUUCCUAUGACAUCUUCACUUAUAUCAUAGUAGUUGAUCAUAAUUGUUCUUUAUUCCCAUCAUUAGGAAAAGACAUUGUAUAUUCCUGUUCUUUUCUAUUUUUUUCACCUGAGUUGAAGGUAUUAUUGAGAUAACAGUUGAGUCAUUUACCCUCCAGUUACUCCUCCCAGUUCUUUUCACUUUCUCUCCCACAUGUAUCUACUUCCUGUUUGUCUCUCAUUCAAAAAGGAAAGGCCUCUAAGAGAUAACAGCAAAAUUUAACAACAUAAAAUAUAAUAACAUAAAACACACAAGCAAAAACUGUCACAUCAAAGUUGAACAAGAUAAACCAACAAAACAAAAAGAGCCUCAAGAAGGCAGAAGAAUCAGAGAGCCUCUUGUUCACUUACCUCAGUUGAAUUAGAAUUGGUUCUUAUCCUGUGGGUAGUGACCCAUUUAGAGGUAGAAUGACCCUUUCUUAAAGUUUUCCUAAGACAAUCAGACAAUAUAGAUGUUUACAUUAUGAUUUAUAAAUAGCAAAAUUAUAGUUAUGAAAUAGAGGCAAAAAUAAUUUUAUGGUUUUGGGUCAUUACAACAUUAAGAACCAUAUUUGAGGGUUCUAGCCUUAGGAAGGUUGAAAACCACUGAAUUAUAAAGGGCCUUGUCUCCUUGUGUCCUCUACCCUUUUGAAUCUUUCACAUUUCUCACCUCAUCUUCUGUGGGUGGGAUUUAGUGGAGACAUCCCACUGAAAGCUGUGUUCCAAAUGCAUCUGUUUGUUAAAUGUCAUCCGUCAACUCUUACUGUUCUCUUUAUGAUGAUGUAAAGUAGAAUAAACAUCACUGGCAAAUUUUUGUUUAUGUUAAGUUGUGACAGAAUGUUCAUCUAACUUGAGUAAUCCUGUAGGUGAAUAUAUGUGGACUACUUGAUGAAUAAUCUGUCCAAGUACCUCCGUUUGGUUUUUACUUCUUGGGUAUAUUAGAUUUGCAGAGAGGUGUCUUUUAACUUCAUUCCUAAUGCCUUGAAAUCCUGAUCACUAUAUUUCAGCCACCAGAGUCAAGAACUUAUCACUGCAAAUUCUGCCCUGUGUGUGAGUGAAUAAAGCAAUUUUUGUCCC